UCACAGUAGUCAGACAUCACCAAGCCUUCCUCCCUCUUCCAAUGAAACUGAAUCUGUGGAUCAGCAGCAAGGAAUCAGAGCAUUUCCAGGGUCAGAUUUAACUGUGGGGGAAGGUGUUGGGCCAGUAAUGUACAUGUCAAAAUCCAACCCAGCCCCAGCGGGUCUGUCCUCUCCCCAGGCAUGCUGGAUGCUGUGAUCUGAGAAGCCUGCCCCUUCUCCCAGCACUGAAAGUCAUUCAGCCCUUUCUGGCCAGCUCGAAACAACGCUCGUUCCAGCUCAUCCAGCCGUGCCACCAGUGCAGAGGUGUCCUCAUUGUAGGCAUUCUGGGAGGAGUCCAUGAUGCGACGGAAACGGCCAAUAAAUGUCUACGGGAGAGAAGCAGAAUUACCAAUGGCUAAGGGAGAUUCUUCUUGAACUCAGCAAAGUUGCAGAAAAUAUGGAGGAGGCAGCAAAGAAAAAAGAAACCAAAUCUACCAAAGGAACUAGACUUGGUUUGAAUACUUGCCUGCAGUAUAGUCUGAGCUAUCUCUGGAUUCUCUGGAUUGUCAAAAUUCAG